ACUCUCAGCAUGAGGAGGUAGUGACGAAAAAUAACAAGACCGUUCUCUAUGAGGCCGGUUAUUGGAAUGAGUACAAUUUAAAUCCGUUAACGUGGAUCUAUGAGAGGGCAAGUCUGGUGCCAGCAGCCGCGGUAAUUCCAGCUCUCAAAGUGUAUAUCGUCAUUGCUGCGGUUAAAAAGCUCGUAGUUUGAUAUGCGCUACAGGAUUUGGUCCGCCCAUUGGGCGUGAACUGAACUCCUGGGCUAGUUGUGUUGGUUUUCCUUACGUUACCUUAAUCGGUUGCGUAGGGUGACUAACGAGUUUACUUUGAAAAAAUUAGAGUGCUUAACGCGGGCAUAUGCCUGAAUAUUCGUGCAUGGAAUAAUAGAAUAGGAUCUCGGUUCUAUUUUGUUGGUUUUCUGAUCUGAGAUAAUGGUUAAGAGGGACAGACGGGGGCAUUCGUUUCGCUUCGUGAGAGGUGAAAUUCUUGGACCGUAGCGAGACGCCCGACUGCGAAAGCAUUUGCCAAGAAUGUCUUCAUUAAUCAAGAACGAAAGUCAGAGGUUCGAAGGCGAUCAGAUACCGCCCUAGUUCUGACCGUAAACGAUACCAACUAGCGUUCCGUCAUCGGUGAAUAUGCCUUGGCGGGCAGCUUCCCGGAAACGAAAGUGUUUCGGUUCCGGGGGAUGUAUGGUUGCAAAGCUGAAACUUAAAGAGAUUGACGGAAGGGCACCACCAGGAGUGGAGCCUGCGGCUUAAUUUGACUCAACACGGGAAAACUCACCUGGCCC
rnacentral:rRNA from 1 species